rnacentral:rRNA from 1 species
UAAUUAAGGGCUAGUAUGAAUGGUUACAUGAGGGUUUAACUGUCUCCUAAGGCCAAUCAUUGAACUUGAUGACUCAGUACAAACGCUGAAAUAAACCCACAAGACGAGAAGACCCUGUGGAACUUUAAGUCCCCUGCAAGCAAACCUAAAUCACCGGCCCCUCCCCUAGCAGGCACUUUCAGUUGGGGUAACUACGGAGUAAAAAAGAACCUCCACGAACCGCAGCUAAAACCUGCACUCCCAGGCCAACACGCCAAACCCCCCCCCUCACUGACCCAG